rnacentral:rRNA from 1 species
GACAGAGGAUGCAAGCGUUAUCCGGAAUGAUUGGGCGUAAAGCGUCUGUAGGUGGCUAUUUAAGUCCGCCGUCAAAUCCCAGGGCUCAACCCUGGACAGGCGGUGGAAACUACCAAGCUGGAGUACGGUAGGGGCAGAGGGAAUUUCCGGUGGAGCGGUGAAAUGCGUAGAGAUGUGGAGGAACACCGAUGGCGAAGGCAGCCCCCUGGGCCAAUACUGACGCUCAUGCACGAAAGCGUGGGGAGCAAACGAGG